GAAAGAAAGAAAGAAAGAAAGAAAGGGAGGGCGGAGAGGAAGAGAGUCUGGGAAGGGAGAAGGGACACACCACCACCACAGAGCGAGAGAGGGAGUGAGGCUGCGACAGGGAAGAGAGAAGAGAAGAGGGAGGCGUCACUGCCUACUGCCACCGAGCCUGCUCCACUGCUGAUCGUCCUGCUCUGUUGCAGUCGUCGCAUGCAUCGCCAUCCGAGGUGCGCCACCGACCCAUCACCACCAUGGCUGGAUUCUCGUGAGUGUUAAGCCCAGACGAGAAAGGAGAGACACGGGCCUGAAACUCCAACGAGCUGGGGAGGAUCAGUGCCGCCGCUAUGCCAUUCGUGGACUCCAUCGCCGCCACUGAAGGUUUCGAUCAUCCAACUUGCCGCUGUCGUUGCCUCGCCACCGAUCUAUCACCCUUGUCAUCGUUGGGAGAGCAGAACCACGAGAGAGAGUCGCGGUGAGAGAAGGGUCACGCCCAGCGCCGUUGCCGCCUUUCCUCCACCGUCACCGAAGCUGGUGGGCUUGCCGUCAUUGCACCUAUGAUGCUGCUGGGUCCCUGGAGCUUCACGCCGCUGUGCUGGCCGCCGGAGAAUGCAGCUGAAGCCUCUGUCUUCUUGGGUUUUGAUUGUUGCUAGUUACUCGACUGUACGCCGUCGUCGAAACUGGGCCAGAUUUACCGGAAUGGUUUUAUUGCCAUUACGACGGAUGUGCAGGUCCCUAAUUCUGUCCUUUGUUACUCCAUCAUUCUGUUUUCUCUAGCUGCAGGUCGAGUUCCGGUAAUUGCAUGGUUGAAAUAAAAGCUGUUUCUGUUGUUAUGGAAGUAAACAGAGCGGCGGAUGCAGCUUCCGUUGAGUGCAAGUUGAGAGAAAAAGGUUUAUUUGAUGUGUUUGAUCUAUGGGUUUUGAUUAUUCGAGAAUUUCUUUUUCAAUGACAGAUUCAGGAAGCUUUGGCGCGAAGCCGCGACCGAGCUAAGGAUGCUUUAUUUACAUAUAUGUAUCUUUAUUUUCUGUAUUUGGUUUAACUUUAGAUUUUGUUUUUCCCUCGUCUUUUAUUCUUUUGUAAUUUUAGAGGGACAUGACUUGUAUUUGAGAAAUAUUUGAAUAAGUUUAUGUAUUAUUAUUAUGUGGAUUUAAUUAUGUUAUUAAGGGAAUUAAAGUAAACACUUUUCGGUUUCGUAACUAAGAAAUUGGAAUUAUAUUCGCAAAGGCUCAAUAUUAAAUAAUUAUAAUAUGAAUUAAUGGAUUAGAGGUAAGUAACGCCUGAACUUUUAGUACGAUCAUAAGGCGUUAAAAGUAAAGGUGUUACAGGAUCUGUGCACGUCAUUAAUGAGGGAUGCGAAAUGUCUUUUUUGCCCCUUGUGUCUUAUAAAUGCUUCACCUUU